rnacentral:misc_RNA from 1 species
UUUCCGUAGGUGAACCUGCGGAAGGAUCAUUACUGAGUUAGGGUCUUUAUGGCCCGACCUCCAACCCUUUGUUUAAUCUACCAUGUUGCUUUGGCAGGCCCGCUUAGAAAUGGGCCGCCGGAGACCUUUGAGUCUCUGGUCAGUGCCUGCCAGUAGCCUUUCUAAAUUCAUUUAUAACCGUGUCUGAAUAUACAAAGAAAAAUUAAAAUAAAACUUUCAACAACGGAUCUCUUGGUUCUGGCGUCGAUGAAGAACGCAGC